AGUGAACGCUGGCGGUAGGCCUAACACAUGCAAGUCGAACGGCAGCACAGUAAGAGCUUGCUCUUACGGGUGGCGAGUGGCGGACGGGUGAGGAAUACAUCGGAAUCUACUUUUUCGUGGGGGAUAACGUAGGGAAACUUACGCUAAUACCGCAUACGACCUACGGGUGAAAGCAGGGGAUCUUCGGACCUUGCGCGAUUGAAUGAGCCGGUGUCGGAUUAGCUAGUUGGCGGGGUAAAGGCCCACCAAGGCGACGAUCCGUAGCUGGUCUGAGAGGAUGAUCAGCCACACUGGAACUGAGACACGGUCCAGACUCCUACGGGAGGCAGCAGUGGGGAAUAUUGGACAAUGGGCGCAAGCCUGAUCCAGCCAUACCGCGUGGGUGAAGAAGGCCUUCGGGUUGUAAAGCCCUUUUGUUGGGAAAGAAAAGCAGCAGGUUAAUACCCCGCCGUUCUGACGGUACCCAAAGAAUAAGCACCGGCUAACUUCGUG
rnacentral:rRNA from 1 species